AAGUAAAAGUCGUAACAAGGUUUCCGUAGGUGAACCCUGCGGAAGGAUCAUUACCGAAGUAUCAUAAUGAGUUGUUGCUGUUAUCGUGCACGCUUGUUAUUCUUCAUUUCUCCAUAAUUUGUGCAUCACUUGUGUGGAACCUCUGUCCGAGUUCAUCUCAGACGAUUGGGACUGCUUUGCAAAGUUACUAUUUGCGGGGCUUUCCUUGUAUCUGCAUGUAUUUUCACAUACACCCAAUAUUAGAAGGAAAAAAAAUUUUGAAACGUUAUACAACUUUCAGCAACGGAUCUCUUGGCUCUCGCAUCGAUGAAGAACGCAGCGAAAUGCGAUAAGUAAUGUGAAUUGCAGAAUUCAGUGAAUCAUCGAAUCUUUGAACGCAUCUUGCGCUCCUUGGUAUUCUGAGGAGCAUGCCUGUUUGAGUGUCAUUUUAAUAUCUCAACCACAUUCAUUUUGUGGCUUGGACUUGGAGGAACAAUGCAGGCUCUGACUUCUUGUAGUCUGCUCCUCUGAAAAACAUGAGUGGUACCUAUAUUGGAACUCUGGCUAGGUGUGAUACAUAUCUGCAUCUAAUCUAGGUUGCCUGUCGGGUUAUGCUGCUGAUUAUUAUGACUUGAUAAACUUGACCUCAAAUCAGGUAGGACCACCCGCUGAACUUAAGCAUA
rnacentral:rRNA from 1 species